rnacentral:tRNA from 1 species
GCGCCAAUAGCUCAGCAGGAUAGAGCAACGGACUUCUAAUCCGUAGGUCGAGGGUUCGAAUCCCCCUUGGCGUGCCA